rnacentral:rRNA from 1 species
GUUGAUCCCUGCCGGACCCGACCGCUAUCGGGGUGGGGCUAAGCCAUGGGAGUCGUGCGUCCCGGUUACCGGGGCGCGGCGAACGGCUGAGUAACACGUGGCUAACCUACCCUCGGGAUGGGGAUAACUCCGGGAAACUGGAGCUAAUCCCCGAUAGGUGGGGAGGCCUGGAAUGGUUCCCCACCCAAAGGUGAUGCGGGGAUGUCCGCAUCACCGCCCGAGGAUGGGGCCACGGCCCAUCAGGUAGUUGGCGGGGUAACGGCCCGCCAAGCCGAUAACGGGUAGGGGCCGUGAGAGCGGGAGCCCCCAGAUGGGCCCUGAGACAAGGGCCCAGGCCCUACGGGGCGCACCAGGCGCGAAAACUCCGCAAUGCGGGAAACCGUGACGGGGCCACCCCGAGUGCCCCGAAGAGGGGCUUUUCCCCGGUGUAGGGAGCCGGGGGAAUAAGCAGGGGGCAAGUCUGGUGUCAGCCGCCGCGGUAAUACCAGCCCUGCGAGUGGUCGGGACGAUUAUUGGGCCUAAAGCGCCCGUAGCCGGCCCGGUAAGUCCUCCCUUAAAGCCCCGGGCACAACCCGGGGACGGGGAGGAUACUGCCGGGCUAGGGGGCGGGAGAGGCCGAGGGUAUUCCCGGGGUAGGGGCGAAAUCCGUUAAUCCCGGGAGGACCACCAGUGGCGAAGGCGCUCGGCUGGAACGCGCCCGACGGUGAGGGGCGAAAGCCGGGGGAGCGAACCGGAUUAGAUACCCGGGUAGUCCCGGCUGUAAACGAUGCGGGCUAGGUGUUGGACGGGUCUUAGGGCCCGUCCAGUGCCGCAGGGAAGCCGUUAAGCCCGCCGCCUGGGGAGUACGACCGCAAGGCUGAAACUUAAAGGAAUUGGCGGGGGAGCACCACAAGGGGUGGAGCCUGCGGCUUAAUUGGAGUCAACGCCAGGAAUCUUACCGGGGGCGACAGCAGGAUGAUGGCCAGGCUGACGACCUUGCCUGACGCGCUGAGAGGAGGUGCAUGGCCGUCGCCAGCUCGUGUCGUGAGAUGUCCGGUUAAGUCCGGCAACGAGCGAGACCCCCGCCCCCAGUUGCGACCCAGCCCUUCGGGACUGGGGCA